CGUGUUUCGGGGAUGCAAGUGGCUUCAUAUCACUCAUUUGUAUCUUGCUUCUUCCUCCAUGUCCCACGGUAGGACUCCCACCUCCACGCUCUCCCUACCAAACAACAAUGGAGGCUAUUUCUCUGAAGCUCUUGGUUUUUAUUGUUAUCGAUGAUAAAUAGACGGUGAGCAUUCAAGUGUUGAAGCUUGGAACUGCCAGCCAGGGGCGGAUGCAGGCAGUGGUUAGGGGGUUCAGCCGAACCCCCUUCGGCGAAAUAUUACCUUGUAUAUACAAUGUUAAAAUUAUUUUUUAUGUAUAUAUAGUACAUAUUGAACCCCCUUGACUUCUUGUUUGUUAACUAAUUUAUAUUUUUGAACCCCCUUAGUGUGGAUUCUGGCUUCGCCACUGCUGUCAGCCCCUGCUCAUAUUUUUCGAUAUAUCUUCUGCUCUAUGUUUUUUUUUUUUUUGGGGAAUUGGGAAUAAAUAUUAAUUUUACUAUUUUUCUCGUAUGUUUUGGGUAAUGGUAGAUGGCUCUUUCCUUUUUCAGCUUCCGUAAAAAAUUUGGGGAUUUUCUGGAGAAAGAUUUGAGGAGUAGUGGAGAGAACAAUGGGUUUCGAGGUUUAUAAUGGGCGGGACACAAAACAAGGUUAUAUUGAUUUUUUUUUUUUUUUUUGGUUGUGAGUGCGGUUUCGAAAUAACUAUUUAAACUUUAAUAAAUUUUAUGGAACACUUGAAAAACUGAUGUCUAACAAUAAAAAAAAAAAAGGUGGAUAUCAACACUAGAAUUGGAAAGCAUAGAAGCUUUUGGGGGACUUAUAAUACAGAUUCUAUGAAAGUAGCUAUCUCCAGAGAGUCUAUGCGACUGUAAAGAGCAGAUUUCAAGUACCAAAAUGGACCAUUUAUAAUAGCUUUGGAACAAUGAACAUCAUCUAUCUGACUGUUUAUGAUAUAUCUAGGCUCCUUUACUGGUCAAGUGGUAGCAUCUUGUAGCGAUAAGCGCAAUAUAGUGUGUCUUUGCUCCUGGUAUUAUAUACCUCUGUAAUUUUGAUCUAUUGUGCAGUAUGAGGAUGGUGUACAUCUUGAUUACUUGCAUUGCGGAGGAUUCCUUUUGGGGGCAGGACUGGCUCAUGCGAAAGGAAAACUCUACUGUUAACAAGGAGUGAAUCCACACGAAAUUUUAGACAGCCAAACUCACAACUUUGCCAACUGAAUUUAUUUUGUUAUUCCAUCUUCCAUGAGGGAUCCAAUGCUCACUCAUUGCAUGCUUAAUUUGAGAAUGGGAGGAAACAGACCACCAGAAAAUUUUAUCCAGCCAGAUAUGUAGCACACAAUUUUAUGGAGUUUAUAAGAACUCCGGCACACAGAUCUGGCCGGAAGAGUUCGAAGAUCCUGUCCGACGACGGCGAGCUUCAAGAUUUAAGUCAUUCAUACAAAGUCAGUGAUCGAGAGUGUUAAUUGCAAUUAUUUGCAGGCACAAAGUAAUAAUUUCUCGUCAUUUGUUGCACAAAACUUAUAUCUAUAUCCUAUUUAGCUUUUCGUAGAAACAUAUUGUGAUAUCUUUGUUUUCCACAUUAAUUUGCUCUUUCAUUUAGUAAA